UCAGUGCUAGAACCAGUGGGAUAACUCAGUUCGUUAGUACUCUUCAAAACGACGGACGGACCCGAUAUGAAAGACCAGACUCUUUUUCUCGUAGCUGUAACCUUGGUGAUGCUUUUCUGCACAAUGCCCCAAGAAGUUUCUGCAGCUGUCGGCGCAGGCUCCGAAUAUCUGCAAAAUCAAGCUAAAAAUGGAAAGAAGGAAGAAAAUGGUCUCCGUGCUCUAGCUUACUUGUGUAAAGUAGCAAGAAUUCUUGAAUGCGAACCUUAUAAGAAAUACUACCGGUUCAUUUAGGGAUUAAGUAUUGCGUAUCAUGUAUAGGAUGGAAUAAGAUGUCAUUAAUAUACUUUAAAACCACUAAAAGAUCUAGAAUCGCACGAUGUUGUAUGGUUUAGUAAUCGGUUCGUCAAUGAUUGUAAGUCAGUAAAUAAAAUACAAUUAUGAAAACUG